rnacentral:rRNA from 1 species
GACGAACGCUGGCGGCGUGCCUAACACAUGCAAGUCGAACGAGGUCCAAGGGAGCUUGCUCCCUGAAGACCUAGUGGCGAACGGGUGAGAAACACGUGAGAAACCUGCCCUCGAGUGGGGAAUAACCCGGGGAAACCCGGGCUAAUACCGCAUACGCUCCUCUGGUCGCAUGGCCGGAGGAGGAAAGUUUUUCGCUCAAGGAGGGUCUCGUGGCCUAUCAGCUUGUUGGCGGGGUAACGGCCCACCAAGGCUACGACGGGUAGCUGGUUUGAGAGAACGAUCAGCCACACUGGGACUGAGACACGGCCCAGACUCCUACGGGAGGCAGCAGUGGGGAAUCUUGCGCAAUGGGCGAAAGCCUGACGCAGCAACGCCGCGUGCGGGAUGACGGCCUUCGUGGUUGUAAACCGCUUUCAGCAGGGACGAAAAUGACGGUACCUGCAGAAGAAGCUCCGGCUAACUACGUGCCAGCCGCCGCUGUAA